rnacentral:rRNA from 1 species
CAGUAGCCACGGGAAAACGGAGGGUGCAAGCGUUACUCGGAAUCACUGGGCGUAAAGGACGCGUAGGCGGAUUAUCAAGUCUCUUGUGAAAUCUAACGGCUUAACCGUUAAACUGCUUGGGAAACUGAUAAUCUAGAGUAAGGGAGAGGCAGAUGGAAUUCUUGGUGUAGGGGUAAAAUCCGUAGAGAUCAAGAAGAAUACCUAUUGCGAAGGCGAUCUGCUGGAACUUAACUGACGCUAAUGCGUGAAAGCGUGGGGAGCGAACAGGAUUAGAUACCCCCGUAGUCCCUGUCUCUUAUAC